ACAGUAAUACUUGGCACAGUUUGCACUUGUGGUUGCGUCAACACAGCCUAUGUGUUUUGUCUCCACAUUUCUGUUUUCCCCAGAGCUUGAAGAAGCUCAGGAAAAAUGGCAGGAAUGUUCUACAGCUCUGGCCCUGAUUGUCUCCAGAAGCAGCUCUUUCUCCUUCAGUGAUCAUGAACUUUUGAAGGUCAAGCAACCUCUGCCUGGGCUUAGAUAGGCAUUGGCAUCAGAGAACCGAUACCCUCCAUUAACCAACCAUGCAGGCUGGAGAUAUGAAGGACACCCAGAAUAGUCACCAAAUCAAAAAUUGCAAUAAAAUGGUGGACCACAACUUAAAGCAGUUCUGUCAACAAGGCUCAUAAAACAAU